UUGAGACAGAGUUUCACCCUUGUUGCCCAGGCUGGAGUGCAAUGGUGGGAUCUCGGCUCACUGCAACCUCCGCCUCCCGGGUUCAAGCGAUUCUCCUGCCUCAGCCUCCCUAGUAGCUGGGAUCAGGCAUGUGCCACCACGCCCGGCUAAUUUUGUAUUUUUAGUAGAGACGGGGUUUCUCCAUUUUGGCCAAGCUGGUCUCGAACUCCUGACCUCAGGUGAUCCACCUGCCUCGGCUUCCCAAAGUGUUGGAAUUACAGGCGUGAGUCACCACGCCCGGCCACAUUUUUAUACUUUUUCAAAAUACUAGUGUAACAUCUCACGUACCCCAUAAAUAUAUAUACCUACUAUGUACCCACAAAAAUAAAAAAUUAAAAAAUAUAUAUUAAUGUAGAAGGCACAGGAUAAGAGAAAUAUAAGGUUGCAUCCUUUAGGAAAAUAUUAAUUCUUUAAUGCAGUAGUAACAAAAUUCCAUUUACACAUUAUUUAUUGUUCAUCAGACAGUUUUCAUUCUGAAGUUUUGCUAGCUCUGCACUUCUGAAUGCCAGCCUCUAUCCCGUAUCUACCCUACCUACCUACCUUGCUCCUCUUCUCUCAAAAAGUAAUCCUUUUUCAUGUUGGGGUUUUUAAAAUUUUACAUUACUUAUUUGCCUGAUGAACAAAGCAAAACCUGUUAACUGACCUGGCUUUUACUGAUAAACUCAGUGGAAGCUUUUCGUCUGUAAAAUCUAAGUCCCGGCCGGGUGCAGUGGCUCACGCCUGUAAUCCCAGCCCUUUGGGAGGCCAAAGUGGGCAGAUCACCUAAGGUCAGGAGUUUGAGACCAGACUGAUCAACAUGGAGAAACCCCGUCUCUACUAAAAAAAAA
rnacentral:lncRNA from 10 species